UACGUAGGGUGCGAGCGUUAAUCGGAAUUACUGGGCGUAAAGCGUGCGCAGGCGGUUCGUUGUGUCGGCGGGGAAAGCCCCGGGCUCAACCUGGGAAUGGCCGUUGAAACUGGCGAACUGGAGUGUGGCAGAGGGGGGUGGAAUUCCGCGUGUAGCAGUGAAGUGCGUAGAGAUGCGGAGGAACACCGAUGGCGAAGGCAGCCCCCUGGGCUAACACUGACGCUCAGGCACGAAAGCGUGGGGAGCAAACAGG
rnacentral:rRNA from 1 species